UGACUGCCUUGCUCAGGGAGGCUGGCCCUCAACAAGAAACAGGAAUUAAGAAAGUAGACAGCUUUGGGAGAAGGGGAGAACACACAGAUGAAAUUAAUAUGCCCCCAAAUUGGAAGCUUUGGAAAAGGGAGGAAUGAAUGCAGCCAGAGAGUAAGAGUGCCGUCACGUCAAAGAGAUUCACAGCAGACUCGGCUAUGCAUGCCAUGUUGUUGGACAGCAUUUUACUCAAAGAACUUCAUUUGAAACUGAAGUCGAUGCUCUCAGACCCUGCUUUAUCAACUUAGCUUAUGGAAUCUUCUAAAUCCUUGGUUGUCACUUCAACAACAUUCAUAGCAUCUU